rnacentral:rRNA from 1 species
AGUGAACGCUGGCGGUAGGCCUAACACAUGCAAGUCGAACGGCAGCACAGAGGAGCUUGCUCCUUGGGUGGCGAGUGGCGGACGGGUGAGGAAUACAUCGGAAUCUACUCUGUCGUGGGGGAUCACGUAGGGAAACUUACGCUAAUACCGCAUACGACCUACGGGUGAAAGCAGGUGAUCUUCGGACCUUGCGCGAUUGAAUGAGCCGAGGUCGGAUCAGCUAGUUGGCGGGGUAAAGGCCCACCAAGGCGACGAUCCGUAGCUGGUCUGAGAGGAUGAUCAGCCACACUGUAACUGAGACACGGUACAGACUCGUACGGGAGGCAGCAGUGGGGAAUAUUGGACAAUGGGCGCAAGCCUGAUCCAGCCAUACCGCGUGGGUGAAGAAGGCCUUCGGGUUGUAAAGCCCUUUUGUUGGGAAAGAAAUCCAGCUGGCUAAUACCCGGUUGGGAUGACGGUACCCAAAGAAUAAGCACCGGCUAACUUCGUGCCAGCAGCCGCCGUAACAC